GGGUGGUGGUGGGGGUGGUGGGGGUGAUUGCAGUGACAAUCGCCCAGGACGAAAAAGAAAUGAGAAUCCAAUAACAAACAUAAAUAGCACAAAAACAGAAUUACUAGUAAUUGUACAAAUACACGCCGAAAUUUCCCUUAGCAAAACCGAACGAAACUUACCAAGUGUGGAUAGAGAAGUUCACGAGGAUCAAUUCACCGCUCAGGAUACGCAGCCCUCAAAAUAACCCGCUGUUACACCAAAGUACAAGGACUGCACAUUACUCACGCCACCCGACCCGCAUUGAAGCUAGACAUUGUAACUUCCUCAUACCUGAAAGGAGGGUAGUAAACAGAUCCGAAGAGCAUCUGACAGGGACACGCACAAUGAUGAAAAGACAGGCUAAGGGUGCAAUAAACGAGCCAUUAGUGCAACGAGUAAAGAUAAAAAAAAACAACAACAACGAAUUAACAGCUAACAACACAUACCUGAAACCAGAGCAUCAAUGAAUAUGUGCAGGAAAGAGAGGGUAAACAACCAUACAUCCUCGCAGUUGGCCGAACCCAGAAGACGAUUGAUACCUUCUACAUCGCCGUUGACCAACAGCUCAUCGUCUGCCAAACCACCAGCUCAUUGGGUGCUUUUGAUGAACUGUUUAAAUCCCACUAUGUGUUCAACUUGUCUUAUGAUGAGUCCCUGGUCCAUUUCUACACUUUUCUGCAGACAACUGUCUACAACAUUGAUGUUACCACAACAGAUGAAUCUCCCAAGAGUUUGUGAGUUGUGGGCAAAACCUUUGAAUGACAUAUGAAUAUGUUCAAAUGUUUCAUUUGUCAAGCAGUGCAUGCUACCAGCCAUGGCCUAAUAACUCAUUUGCUAAUUGGCCACAGUUUCUAUCCAGGCACCAAGUUUAAGUUAGUUUGUGCACAAGAUCAUUGUAGGUGUCAGUUUUCAACAUUUUCAGGUUUAAAAAACCAUUUAGUUAGUGUGCAUGAUAAGGGUUAUUGUCAAAGUGGUAAUGCAGAAACCUCAGAGUCAUUUCAGGCUGAUUUUCACAGUUUCCGAAAUAGUACAGAAGUUACAGGAGAAUAUACACACACACACACUUAUAAGAUUAUUUUAAACAAUACACAUAGAUUGUGAUGACCACAAAGCCAACACAUGCAAGAGACCAGGACUGGGAGAUGUGUUAAAACACAUCUUUAUUAUUUAUUCUAGAAUUCCUGAUAUGAAAUGGAAUGCUGGAGUAAAUAAAACCAAAGAAACGGAUAAUAAGCCAAUGUACUGACAGAGAGAAUUGAUGUAAUUCCAAAGCGAUGUAAUUCCUGAUGUAAUUAAAAAGCGAGUUGAGUUUUUAUGCAAAA